rnacentral:rRNA from 1 species
UGGGUAACCUGCCCAAGAGAUCGGGAUAACACCUGGAAACAGAUGCUAAUACCGGAUAACAACAGAUGAUGCCUAUCAACUGUUUAAAAGAUGGUUCUGCUAUCACUCUUGGAUGGACCUGCGGUGCAUUAGCUAGUUGGUAGGGUAACGGCCUACCAAGGCGAUGAUGCAUAGCCGAGUUGAGAGACUGAUCGGCCACAUUGGGACUGAGACACGGCCCAAACUCCUACGGGAGGCAGCAGGA